GCCCAGGUGGCGGAACUGGUAGACGCAGCAGACUCAAAAUCUGCCAAUAGCAAUAUUGUGGGGGUUCGAUUCCCCCCUUGGGCACCA
rnacentral:tRNA from 1 species